AACGCACCUUGCGCCCCUUGGCUAUUCCGAGGGGCAUGCCUGUUUGAGUAUCAUGAACAUCUCAACUCUCAUGCUUUGCCAUGAUGAGCUUGGACUUUGGGGGGUUUUGCUGGCCUAUUGUCAGCUCCUCUGAAACAGAUCAGCUUGCCAGUAUUUGGUGGCGUCACAGGUGUGAUAACUAUCUACGCUUGCGAUCGUUUGCCAAGUAACCUUCGGUGACGAAGGUUUGCUGGAGCUUACAAACGUCUCUCCUCAGCGAAGACAGCUUUGACCGUUCGAUCUCAAAUCAGGUAGGACUACCCGCUGAACUUAA
rnacentral:misc_RNA from 1 species